UACGUAGGGUCCGAGCGUUGUCCGGAAUUAUUGGGCGUAAAGGGCUCGUAGGCGGUUCGUCACGUCGGGAGUGAAAACUCGGGGCUUAACCCCGGGCCUGCAGUGGGUACGGGCAGACUAGAGUGCGGUAGGGGAGACUGGAAUUCCUGGUGUAGCGGUGAAAUGCGCAGAUAUCAGGAGGAACACCGGUGGCGAAGGCGGGUCUCUGGGCCGUAACUGACGCUGAGGAGCGAAAGCGUGGGGAGCGAACAGG
rnacentral:rRNA from 1 species